GGUGGUUCUUGGGUGAUGCACCCCAGAAUCGGGUUCUCUUCUCUCCAGUUCUGGGCACAUCAUCCAAGAACCACA
rfam:Myotis lucifugus cont2.22212, whole genome shotgun sequence.